GUCCGUAGGCGGGCCGAUAAGUCAGGGGUGAAAGUCUGCCGCUCAACGGUAGAACUGCCUUUGAUACUGUCGGUCUUGAGUUAUAGUGAAGUUGCCGGAAUAUGUAGUGUAGCGGUGAAAUGCAUAGAUAUUACAUAGAACACCGAUUGCGAAGGCAGGUGACUAACUAUAUACUGACGCUGAUGGACGAAAGCGUGGGGAGCGAACAGGAUUAGAUACCCUGGUAGUCCACGCCGUAAACGAUGGAUACUAGCUGUCCGGAACCUUGAGUUCUGGGCGGCCAAGCGAAAGUGAUAAGUAUCCCACCUGGGGAGUACGUUCGCAAGAAUGAAACUCAAAGGAAUUGACGGGGGCCCGCACAAGCGGUGGAGCAUGUGGUUUAAUUCGAUGAUACGCGAGGAACCUUACCAGGGCUUAAAUGCAUAUUGACAGGGUCAGAGAUGACUUUUCCUUCGGGCAAUUUGCAAGGUGCUGCAUGGUUGUCGUCAGCUCGUGCCGUGAGGUGUCAGGUUAAGUCCUAUAACGAGCGCAACCCCUACCGUUAGUUGCCAGCAUGUCAUGAUGGGGACUCUAACGGGACUGCCGGUGCAAACCGUGAGGAAGGUGGGGAUGACGUCAAAUCAUCACGGCCCUUACGUCCUGGGCCACACACGUGCUACAAUGGCAGGUACAGAGAGCAGCCACGUCGCAAGGCGGAGCGAAUCUAUAAAACCUGUCACAGUUCGGAUCGGGGUCUGCAACUCGACCCCGUGAAGCUGGAAUCGCUAGUAAUCGGAUAUCAGCCAUGAUCCGGUGAAUACGUUCCCGGGCCUUGUACACACCGCCCGUCAAGCCAUGGAAGCCGGGGAGUGCCUGGAAGUCCGUCACCGU
rnacentral:rRNA from 1 species